rnacentral:lncRNA from 1 species
AUUUGAAUUCACGGCAUCGGUUUAUUUUUUGAGAGAGAGUGAGAGAGAGAGGCAGCCGAGAAAGAGAGAUAGAGGAGAAAGAGCAUCUGGUCCAUUUUUGAGAGAGAGGAGAGCAUUCACGUCUUGCAUACACCGAAGGUAAAUUGGAAUGAAUAUUUUUUUUUUGCUUUGUUUUUCUUGUUUGUCCCAUGUUUGAAUGAGAAUCAAUUUUUUUGAACUUGAAGGAGGGCUUGCACGAUUUUUUCAACUUGAAGGCAUAUACCAUGGCUUCUUCUUCAAACCAAGUAAGUAUCCUAUUUCGUUGAUUUUAUUUAAAUUCUUGAAUAAGGAUGUUAUUUUCCACAACAAGUUGAAGCAUGUUAUUUUCGUGAAUUAUUUUGGUGACAUUGUUUAAUUCGAAUUACUUGUGUUUAAUUAUGUUCGUGAAUUGGGUAGUCAUUUUGGUUGAAUUAG